GAGUAAGAUUGCAGACCUGGAGUAAGAUUGCAGACCUGGAGUCUGAUGACGCCGAGCGAGUGAUGGAGGGAGCAGAAUGAUGAAGAUGAAGCCAGAAUUAAGCCAAGUUCCUGGCUUUUCCCAAGACCUUCAAGGACACGAUUGACCUUGGAAUCAGCUGUAAAGGAGGAUGAAACCGAUGUCUAAGAAUGGGACAGCGAUAUUGCAUCCAUUUGAUUCCACCAUCACCACAAGGCUGCAAGGGACCUGGAGAAAUGUCAACAAGUAUCUUGCUGUAGUCUUUUUCAAAGCUACUUGUCAUAUUUGUUAAUGUCUAGGUAAAUUUGAUGAUUUUAUGCGUUUUAUUAACUGUUAUGUUUCCGUGCAACACUUAAUGAAUGUGACUGACUAAUUAACCUCUACACAUCUGGUAUAUGCUUUAAAGUUGCCACUUUGCCCAUUUGUUAAAUAAAC